rnacentral:rRNA from 1 species
AGAGUUUGAUCCUGGCUCAGAUUGAACGCUGGCGGUAUGCUUAACACAUGCAAGUCGAACGGAAACGGAACUAGCUUGCUAGUAGACGUCGAGUGGCGGACGGGUGAGUAACGCGUAGGAAUCUGCCUGAUAGUGGGGGAUAGCCCGAAGAAAUUCGGAUUAAUACCGCAUAAUCUAUUCGUAGUAAAGUGAGGGACUUUCGAGCCUCACGCUAUCAGAUGAGCCUGCGUAAGAUUAGCUUGUUGGUAGGGUAAAAGCCUACCAAGGCAACGAUCUUUAGCUGGUCUGAGAGGAUGAUCAGCCACAUCGGGACUGAGACACGGCCCGAACUCCUACGGGAGGCAGCAGUGGGGAAUAUUGGACAAUGGGGGCAACCCUGAUCCAGCUACGCCGCGUGUGUGAUGAAGGCCUUAGGGUUGUAAAGCACUGUUGUAGGGGAAGAAGGUUAGUUUACUAACUUGACGGUACCCUAUGUAGAAAGCACCGGCUAACUCCGUGCCAGCAGCCGCGGUAAUACGGAGGGUGCAAGCGUUGCUCGGAAUUACUGGGCGUAAAGGGUGCGUAGGCGGUCCUUUAAGUCAGAUGUGAAAGCCCAGGGCUCAACCCUGGAACUGCAUCUGAAACUGGAGGACUUGAGUGUGAGAGAGGAAAGCAGAAUUCCUGGUGUAGAGGUGAAAUUCGUUGAUAUCAGGAGGAAUACCAGCGGCGAAGGCGGCUUUCUGGCUCACAACUGACGCUCAUGCACGAAAGUGUGGGUAGCAAACAGGAUUAGAUACCCUGGUAGUCCACACCGUAAACGAUGAAUGCUAGAUAUACGAUUAAUUUGCAUAUUGUGUGUCGCAGCUAACGCAUUAAGCAUUCCGCCUGGGGAGUACGGUCGCAAGAUUAAAACUCAAAGGAAUUGACGGGGGCCCGCACAAGCGGUGGAGUAUGUGGUUUAAUUCGACGCAACGCGCAGAACCUUACCCAGUCUUGACAUCCUUUGCUCGCCAUAGAGAUAUGGUUUUCCCCUUCACGGGGGACAGAGUGACAGGUGCUGCAUGGCUGUCGUCAGCUCGUGUCGUGAGAUGUUCGGUUAAGUCCGGUAACGAGCGCAACCCCUAUCCUUAGUUGCCAAUUAUGGAACUCUAGGGAGACUCCCGGUGUUAAACCGGAGGAAGAUGGGGAUGACGUCAAGUCCUCAUGGCCCUUACGACUGGGGCUACACACGUACUACAAUGGCAUCUACAAAGAGCAGCGAAAUCGCGAGAUCAAGCAAAUCUCAAAAAAGAUGCCUCAGUUCGGAUUGGAGUCUGCAACUCGACUCCAUGAAGUUGGAAUCGCUAGUAAUCGUGGAUCAGCAUGCCACGGUGAAUACGUUCCCGGGCCUUGUACACACCGCCCGUCACACCACGAAAGUUGAAUUGACCCGAAGUCGUGUGCCUAACCUUCUUUAUUGAUGGAGGGAAGCGCCUACGGUUGAUUCGAUGAUUGGGGUGAAGUCGUAACAAGGUAACC